UACAGAGGUUGCAAGCGUUAAUCGGAAUUACUGGGCGUAAAGCGUGCGCAGGCGGUGAUGUAAGACAGGUGUGAAAUCCCCGGGCUUAACCUGGGAACUGCAUUUGUGACUGCAUCGCUGGAGUGCGGCAGAGGGGGAUGGAAUUCCGCGUGUAGCAGUGAAAUGCGUAGAUAUGCGGAGGAACACCGAUGGCGAAGGCAAUCCCCUGGGCCUGCACUGACGCUCAUGCACGAAAGCGUGGGGAGCAAACAGG
rnacentral:rRNA from 1 species